rnacentral:rRNA from 1 species
UACGUAGGGUGCGAGCGUUAAUCGGAAUUACUGGGCGUAAAGCGUGCGCAGGCGGUUCGUUGUGUCGGUGGUGAAAUCCCCGGGCUUAACCUGGGAAUGGCCAUGGAAACUGGCGAACUGGAGUGCGGCAGAGGGGGGUGGAAUUCCGCGUGUAGCAGUGAAAUGCGUAGAGAUGCGGAGGAACACCGAUGGCGAAGGCAGCCCCCUGGGCUUGCACUGACGCUCAGGCACGAAAGCGUGGGGAGCAAACAGG